GCUGUUUCACCCCACCAGCAGGUCCACCUGGUAUGAAGCAACCAAGUCCUGACAUGACCUCACCUCCUCAAGGUCAGUACCCCUGCAAGGGGAUAACUCUUCUGAUGACACACCCCUGAGCAUGGCCAGCUGCAUGAGCACUGCAGACUCCGAGCUGUCAGCGGAAAAGACUGCAUGAACUUUUGGUGGACACUGGAGACACAUAUGGGCCUCUGAGUUGUGGACUAAGACUGUCACUGAAUAUGAUACUGAGAGAAGAAACAGUGUCUGCCGUUGUGAUCUGAGGGGGAGAAAGCAUUGCUAGCAUCUAUGGAGGACUGAGAACAGAGCCUGCUACAACUGGUGUUCUCUCCAGCUAUGGAAGAUGCAACGUCUGGGUUCCUGCUCUUCCUCCCACCUGACCUGCCACACGUCACUCUGUUCUACGACAGCAACCGCACAGACUGGUAUCAUGAUUCUUUAAGGUAAAACACAGACAGUCAUUCUAGGAAUAUGUAUGUGGCACCUGAGCGUUUGGCAGCUGCUACUGCUGAACAAUUUAUAACGAUAUAUGAGGUCGGAUGAAACGAUUUCACACAUUUGUCUUUCUCUCCAUGUUGAGCACCACAAAGAAGUAGGGGCAUGGUUAAACAUUCCCUUCAGGCAACUGAUUGGGCUCCUACCAGCGUGCAGGAUGCACUCUCUGACUGGAAGGAGUUUUUCGGGGUUGCGACGUCAACCUCCCAGGAUUCACAGGUAGCACACGAAAUUUGACAUCUAAAGAUUGUUGUGUAGUUUCAGAUUAUAUUGGAGAUUCCUAAGGAAUGUGAAGAAGGGUCCACAAACCCCCAGACCUCGGCUGAGUGCGCGCUAAGGUCAACGAAGGACAGAAGUGGGGGUUGUUAUUUAGGGCGCUCUGACCAGAGUGCGGAGCCGUGAGGUCCCACCACAGGGUGCCAAAGGAAACACCGAGACCAGCGCAGAACCAGAGUGGGAAAGUCAUCAAAAGAAAGUGGUCAGAACCAAGGUGGACCAGCCCGUACCAGACGGUGGAACGCACUUCGCACGCUGUCAGGCUCAAAGGAAAAGGCGACACCUGGUAUCAUUGGAGUCAGUGUGCACCCGCUGAGGAACCCCAGCGCUCUCAAGCAUCAGGUGCGCCAGGAUUUACAGGAUAACACCACAACGCUGUGAAAGGGAGCCUAUCGGUGAAUCCUCUACUCAACCACGGUCAUAAUAAAACCCGUAGAGAGAUUCAGUGAGCUUAAGCUCACUCACAAAAAUCGCGCAAAGGAGACAGAGCAGAAGAACAAAGAAGAAGAGGCGGAAGAAGUGGGCAGUGAGCUGCUCUCCUGCUCCACAAAAGAAAAAAAAAAAAAAAAAAAGCAUAAAACAGAAGAGGCGGAAGUAGUGUUUUUUACCUGACCACAUGGUGUUGUAGCAACUCUUACACUCAGAGAGAAGAAGAAAACCAAUAAGAGACUCAGAGAA